rnacentral:rRNA from 1 species
GGGGAAUCUUGCGCAAUGGGCGAAAGCCUGACGCAGCGACGCCGCGUGCGGGACGACGGCCUUCGGGUUGUAAACCGCUUUCAGCAGGGACGAAAUUGACGGUACCUGCAGAAGAAGCUCCGGCCAACUACGUGCCAGCAGCCGCGGUAAGACGUAGGGGGCGAGCGUUGUCCGGAUUUAUUGGGCGUAAAGGGCUCCUAGGUGGUUCAGUCAGUCGACUGUGAAAAUCCAAGGCUCAACCUUGGAACGCCAGUCGAUAUUGCUGUGACUUGAGUUCGGUAGAGGAGUGUGGAAUUUCUGGUGUAGCGGUGAAAUGCGCAGAUAUCAGAAGGAACACCAACGGCGAAGGCAGCACUCUGGGCCGAUACUGACACUGAAGAGCGAAAGCGUGGGGAGCAAAC